AAGCUCAAGGAAGGAAAUAAUAGCCUGAGGCUCUUCAACAUUAGAAAAUCAAAAGAUUUCUGCUUACUGACCACAGAGGAAUCUGUGCCUGCUCCCCCUGGGACUGGAAGCUCCGCUAACACUGCAGCAGCUCACCCAUCACACGGGAGCACUGCUGGCUCACUGAUCGUGCAGGGGCACUAUCUUGUUCAGCGAUGGUGCUGGAGCUGCAUUUCCUCAGUGAGAAUCAGGAUUCAUGAGUCCUAGCAGCUCUGGUCUCUGCAUACUGGUUGCUGGGAAGGUUUUUAAAGACUCUUUGGUGGGAAGACUUCCUGAUCGGAAUCCAAACUGAAAAUGGAUACUCCAUUUGCAAGACAGUGACACUUCCAGUGUGGUGUCAAUCAAACGUCUCCCAAGCAACAGCAGCCUGGAACAUUAUUGUUUAACCACUUCUUGCUCAACAUUGUGUGGGUUUCACUUACAGAAGGAUCUACAUGGUGUGCUGGUCACCUGACUUGUUCACCCAGCCACAGAGAGAGAAGCUGGACAAGGGAGAGCUGGAGGGCCAGACCCACCCCUAGAAGACACUUGCUACAAGGAGGCAAGAGAAGUACGUUUGUCACGGAUGCCGUGGUGCACCUGCCUGACCCCUGUUCAGAACCAAGGUGCUCAUUCCUGCCACUCACUGCUGCUGGAUCACAGCUGAGUCUCUUCCCAGGAGUCGUCCUAGGCCAAAGGGAGCUGCCUUACUCAAGUGAGCAGACCCAGGAACCGACCUCAGCUGCAAGGUGGUGGUGUCCUGCCUCUUUUGUCACACAUGAUGCCAACAGUGGGAAGAGAACUUUUUCGGUAGCAAAGGUGAUGAACGUGUGAGAUUUUCAAACCUGCAGACGUGACUUGAAUGGCUUCCCUUUGGGUAAUGGACACUGGCUACAGACCUAGAAAGGGAUCGGCCACAGGGUGAACUACUGGAGAGAACUAGCAUGGUUUCCAGCACAUGGUGUCGAGCAAAUGGUGAGCAAAGAACUCGUGCUUAGAGAAAACUCCAUUGAUGUGAUCUUUGCACUCAGCCAGCUUGCAGCUAAUAUAUGGGGAUGCUUCUACUGUGCCGGGUUCUGCAGGGAAUGGGGACUCUGAACCAGCGAGACACAUGACUACGGCUUUCCGGCUUUCAGUCUGCACGGUGCCAGCAUCGGGCAUCCGCAUCGCUGUUGAGAUGAAGACUUACCCUUCUCCAGUGCUUAUCACCCUGAAAGGAUCGCAGCUUGGUAAAGCAGACGCAGAAGGACACAGGCUCCUUGCUUCCGGCUCCGGUUCCCCAACCCUCCAUCCCCCCUAGUCACAGGGGGUGGAGGAAGCGUCUGUGGGCUCCAUACAGUGAACCAAGUGGUUGGUCUUCAUAAAGGCCCUGCCCACAGACACCUGGAGCUAACAGACACUCGCAGGCAUGAGGUUCCAGCCAAAAGGGACAGAAAAAUUCACAGACUCUCCAUGUGGCUUCUGGAUGGAAUAGAAGACUCCAAAAUGGACUUAGAACUCACAGUGGGAGCAGCGAGUCAGGGGCCAUAUGCUCAAGCCACAGAGUUGCCUGGGACUGCAAAGAUCAGGCUCCCAGAGGCUGAAACUGGAAAUCUUUAGGUUUUGAUUUAAAAGUUUCCAUUGAUGGGGCACCUACUGAGUGCCAGGCACUGUGCUAGCAGCUUUGCGUCUAUUGUAUCUAAUCUUUCCAGCCACCCUACAAAGUAGGUGUUAUUAUCCUCAUUUUAGAAGUGCGGAAGCAGAGGCGAAGGCUACGAUUUCCCUGUUCAUGGUUUUUGGUCUUUACUAAGUUAGUACAGCAUGAUCAGAGGAGUCCUAGUUUUACAAGGUAUCAGAACUGGAAGGGAUGGUAGAGGUCACGUCUGCCAUCUGAGGAUAAUGAUGAAAAAAGAUCCAAAGUGAGAAAAGUAAAUUAUUUUGCUCAAGGACACACAGCAGAGCUGGCAUCUCCUCCUAGGCCUCUGGGCUUGCCGUGUGGACCUGUCUUGUCUUCUCCGUGUAACAGCAGGGGAACACGGAGAUGUCAUUGCUGUCUGGGAGGAAUGGAACAAAUGUCAAGGCCUGUCUGCCUCUAAGCAGUGAUCACCACAGACAUGGCCGUUUUCAAACCGAUUCUCACUUGAUCUGCUCCACAUUCCUUAAAAAGGAGGGAAGGGGAAGUUUGGACGUUUUGGAAGAUGAAGCAACUUGCAGAUGAUGAAAAGGGACAUCCGCGUCUAUCAAAUGUUUUAAGCCCCUCAGGAGAAAGGUGCAGGAGGAGAGUGAACUGUUUUGGUAUGUUCUUAUUUCCAUCAUCUUGUGAUUUAGGUGUCACACACUGGGAAAUCUUCCUUUCAGGACAGUAAUGAGUUGCUUUUUUCACUCCUUGGUUUUCUCCAAACUGCUUGGGGUUGCAGUGGAAAGCUCUUCUAGAAAUGUCCCUGUUUCAUCUCACCACGUCUCUAAGGAGUGUAUAGUCUACAUUCACAGCCAUAACGUAAACCCCAGUCUCUUUGAGCUACACACAGGAUUGCCCAGAUGCGGGCAUCUGGCAACUCAGAAAUGGUUCUAUGUGCUGGGGUCUGGCUGCAGCACCGUGCGCAGGAUGGUUAAGAAGCAUUAGGGCUGAAAGGGAUCUUGGAGGCUAUUUCAAACUCUUAUUUUCUGAAUCACAUGGUACCUGUUUUUCAUUAAACAGUGGCUUUCAGAAAUUCUCAGGGAUUGAACCUGUAAGUAUAGUGACAGUCAGGGUCAUUUGCAAAGGCACAGAAUAAGCAGUUUAGAUGCUUGGUUCUACUUUUCACUUGGAAUGUUCUUUAUGAGCCAGUUUUAUUUAUCUGUUAAAUCGAUACAAUACUGGAUGAACACAGGUUUUAAAAUGGAAUGAAAUAUAAAAUCCACACAAGUCAUGGUCCCUUCACUUCAGUCACUGGCUGACUUGCUGGUCCCUGAAAUUACGUCAUGACAAUGCCCACUAGAAAUAAGACUAAUAAUUUCUUCAAUUUGCUAUCAGUGCUUUACACUCUUAUCACAAAGGACUGGAAGCUUUGAAGUUAAACUUUCAGAUCUACUUUCCUGCUUAACCUUCAAAAGCACCCUGCAAAGUAGAUGGGAAAGGGAUCUUUAUCCCCCAUUUUGCAGAUGAGCCAACUGAGGCACAGCCAGGUGAAAUAAUCAGACCAAGCUCACGCAGUGUGUUAGACACAGGAAUAAUGGGUCUCCUGAAUUCUGAUCAAGAAUUCUUUCUUCUGUACUACAUAGGGUAAGUGUUUAAUGCUCCCAGAUUUGGAGGAUAUGUUUGGCCACUAAAGCUUUCUCCCAAGAUAGGAAAAACACCUGGCUGCCGCCUGCCCCACCGUAGUAAUGACUCCAUACCUCUUGUGCACUCAAGCUUCCCUGCCUUGAUUCACUCUGGUCCCUCUGAUGGGAAUGCCCUCUCCUCCCCUUCUCCAAAUGAUCGGCUCCUCCGAAUUCAGUUUCAGGCCAACUCAAAUCAUACCUCCUCUCCACGCGUUCCCUGAUUAAAUUCCUUUUCUAUGUCUUUGCCUGCCUUUGCUACAGCACGACAAUGGAUCCUAAGCAGUAGCCAGGCAUUUCUUAUGGAGUCACAGAAGGAAGAGAAGCCUGUGACCAACUAGAAGGCCAGCUUGUUGAGAUCUGGAAGCAGGCCUUUGUUUUUGUAUUUUCAUCACUUAACACAGUGCCUGGAAUAUAGUAGAUAUUUGACCUAAGGUUGUCCAGCACCUGAAAAAUAGGCUGCUCCUGAAAAGAAACAAGGUGACAGGCAAGGGGUGAUGUAGUAAAAAUGGAAACCAGGAUCUCAGCCCUCAGAUUUCAAGGUGGAUUUCUCGGGGCUAUGGAUAAGGUCCUACAGUGCUGUGCAUCUGGGAUGGUUAUGAACACUUUGGAGGCUGAGGGACUUGGAACUUCUUGUGAGAUGGAUCUACCAGCAGUUCCUGUUCUGAGUGAGUGCGAGCCCACUAAUGCCUUGAGGGCUGAAUACUGGUGUGACAUGUACUGUUGCCUUAGACCAGAUUUUUCCUUCUAAGUGUCAAAAACAACUUUAGAUGGAGAAAAUGAACUGAGUGGGGUGAAAAAAAACCUAUGAGUCCCAGAAUAACCUCCAGCUUGGUAAUGAUUUAUCCUAUUUCAUUGUUAAUUUUGCAAUUAAGCAAGAGUACUUUAUAUGCCUGAAUAACCCAUGGACCUUAUCUUAAUCAAAUUAAUGUGUCUGUAACAGAAGACUGAUUCAGUGUUCAACUAUUAGGAUAACAAAUGAUGCAAAGCCCAAGUUUUCUC